CAAGAAAGAAACGGUUGUAUAUAUUUCCUCAGUGAGCAAUGAUGAUUACAAAUGAAUGGAAUUUCUCUUUAUAUAGUAGAGGAAUCCUAAUUAAUGUAUACUUCUAAUUACAUAAGAAAAUCAUAUAAACAGCUGAUUAACCGCUAUAGAUUUGAUCUGUUCCGAAAUUCAUGCCACGAUCCUCGACCAAUCGCGGAUAUCUCGCCUUUUCCGUUAUAAAGUUAUCCUGAUAUUACUCGAAGUCUGUCUCUUCUGGCCUCCAUUGAUAUCAACCUUGAUCUAGAAAGAAGCUUCGAUUUCGGACUCGUAGUCUCAGCUCUUCAAUGCAACAUCACAGCCUUGAUCAAAUAGUGAAAUCGGGUAACCCAUGUUUCUACCGUAUACAAAAUUAAAACUCAUACAAAUAUGAAACAACAUAGAAUAGCCAAAUAGAGAACCCACUAAGGGACCAUUAAUGGACCUCGCCGGAAAAGCUCCUCUUAUGCGACCUCUAUCGCCGAAAAAUUUGUUCUCCAAGCAAAGCUAAAAAACAAUGACUCUACUGGAAUCUUUAGUCUUGUCUCUCCAUUAUUUUCUUGAUUAUGAAUUUGGGCUUAUAUCACUUUUUUCCCCUCUAAUUUGUUAUUUUUGGUGUAAAAUUAUCUUUAAAAUGAUCUGCGGAUGAAGAUGAAAGAGAGUGGAGAAACUAUAUUCUUAUGGUGGAGAUGACGGUGACAGGACUAUUGAGAAAAAAAAUGAUGGUUUUUUUGCAGAUGUUGUUGUUGCACUUUUGCUGCUUCUUUCAGCUGGGUUUGGGGACUGAUUUUGGGUCGAUAGAAUUAGGCGGAGCUCGAAGGUUACGGGCAGUAGAGUUUUGUGGUAAAAGGUGACAGUUCCUGGUGAUUUACGGUGGCUUAAUUCGAGCUUUAAUGGCUGGUUUUCCUAGCCUCGAUGGUGGUUUCAUGGUAGGUUGAGGUGGUUUAUUAGUUAAGAAGAAUGAAAGAAGAGAGGCUAAGUUGCGCUACUUCAGCUAGCUAAUAUCUUGCACUAAGGUUUCUUGGUUUUUUUUUUCAAAGAAAAAAAAAAUUAGGCUGAAAAAAUGACUUCACGCGCUCAAUUUUUUGUUAACAAAUACACAUAUGCCACAUCAGCAACAUGUGUUUGCUUUAUACACUUAAUAGUCACUUGAAGUGUCUAAAUGGUAAAUGGGUCUGUUGAGGAGACCGUUUGAUCGUUGUGGACAACUUAAAGGGAUCGUUUAUGUAUUUCACCAAAAAUAUAAGUACUAUACAGUUUAGAGAGGGGAGCGACGUGAACUCACCCUCUCCCAUAUAGGUCCGCCUCUGAUUGCUAAGUACACAUAUUUUUAUUCAAAUUCGAUCCCACAUAAAAUAACGUUAGUGAAUAGUAGCAAUAAAGAGAUUAAUAUUAUAGUCCAAAUGAUGCACACACCUCAAAAGGCAAUUAACCAAAAAUGAGCUAACUAACUACUUUUUUAAUGGGAAAAAAAAUAUACUGAUCCAAGAAGGCCGUGGUCUUUAUCUUGAUGAAAGGCAACUACAGAAGCCAGGAAUGUCAUCUAGGAUGUUCAAACUUGAAAUAAGUAAAAAAAAUUCGGAUAAAAAGUGUUCAAUAUAUAUUAUAUACCACUAAAAUUUAAUAUUUUACAUAUAUAUACAAUGUAAUUUUUUGAUGAAUUAGUUGACCACCCUUAGGACUAUGUACCUUCGCCCCUGGCAGCUAGUAAAUUGUUCUUGUUUAUUUACUUAAUAUGCUACGUCACUAAGAUGAGAAAUGCAUCCAUCCAUAAAAAAAAACCUGCUAGAGCAUCAUCAAAUUUUGCAACAUUAUCAGAAUUUCAUCAUAGAAUAGUAUGAUAUCGCAUCAUAGAAUAGUAUGAUAUCUCAUUUAUAUAUAGAUGAUUAUAAGUACUAUACAGUGUAGAGAGGGGAGCGACGUGAACUCACACUCUCCCAUAUAGGUCCGCCUCUCAUUGCCAGUACACAUAUUUAUUCAAAUUUGAGCCCGCAUAAAAUAACAUUAGUGAAUAGUAGCAAUAAAGAGAUUAAUAUUAUAGUCCAAAUGAUGCUUUAGUGAUAUUAUAUUAGAUCCUCAAAAAUAAUGAGUAUUAGUUGACCUCAAAGAUUAAAUUUUCUAGUAAUAUCAUAUUAGAUCCUCUGCAUCUGUGAGGGCUAUUGAAUCUGUUGUCCCAACAAUCUCUCAAAGUUAAACAUGUUCAUGAUUUCCUUUACAUUUCAUCGUCUCUACAGAUUUUACCACUUUACAGCUUCUAACACACUCCUCAAUGGCCUCCUUUUCACCCAACCUCACCACAUCUUCACUUUUAAACCCUCUUAGCGCCAUACCAAAAUUGACUAUUUUACAACAAACCCAUUGCCUUCAUCUUCGUCAGAUUUUGAUUCAGUUGUCAAAAGGGUCUGUUCUUUAGUGUGUGAAUCAUAUUGUAAAUUUUAAAAAAAUAGCCAUUUCAAAUCCACAGCUCCCAAGUUGAAACUGCCUAUAGAUUCUGAGUAUUUGACUCAAGAACAGGCUAUAACAGUUGUUGCCUCUCUUGCUGAUGAGGGAGGCUCAAUGCUAGCAUUGAGUUUCUUUUAUUGGGCUAUUGAGUAUGUGAAAUUCAGGCAUUUUAUGAGGCUUUAUAUAGUUUUAGCUAUGUAUUUGAUUAAAAAUGGAAACUUUGAGAGAGCACAUGAACUGAUGCAUUUUAUGCUGAGGAAUUUUGGUGAAAUUGUCACGUUGAAAGAGGCUACAGAUAUGGUGUUUGAGAUGCAAAAUCAAGGGUUGGUUUUGUAUGCUUAGAGUUUGAAUUCUGUUGUUAGUGUUGCUACUGAGAUGGGCCAUGUUGAGAUGGCAGAGAAGAUGUUCGGUGAAAUGUGUGACAGAGGAGUGUGUCCUGAUUCUUUUUGUGUAGUGUUAAAAAGGCAUAAUUAAGCAAGCAUUUGAGUUGUUAGAGGAUGGUGAAUGAGGCAGACCAAAAUAAUGCACUUGGGCCUGGGAAUGGUUUACGCCAGGGUCAAGUGAUUAAACAGCCCAACACAAGGUUAUUGGACUACCAUUGGGACCCGAGUUGAGAUACACGUGUCGAAGAGUUACUGGGCAAGAAGAAAUGUAGUUGGUAUAAUUAUCAGUUUGUGCGAGGAGGAGAGCAUGCGAAUUAUGUUGAGGCUUCCGCUGAGUCUAUUCUUCUCAUCUCUAUCUUUCUAAUGUCUUAAACUUCUCAUCCCUUUCUGGUUAUCCUUUCCUUGUUCCUCUAAUUCCUAGUUAAUUGUUGUUCUUCAUUCCAUUAGUAUUUCCUUUUACAGUGUUAUUUCGUUCAGUGAUUAUAAAAUACAAGUCUCUGUUUGUGUUGUGAAUUGGUUUGUCACAGAGGAAAUGGUUAAAAAAGGUUUUAUACCAAAUGUUUUCACUCAUACUGCAUUGAUUGACGGUCUUUGCAAGAAGGGCUGGAUGGAUAAGGCAUUUAGACUAUUCUUAAAGCUUGUGAAGAUUGAUAACUACAAGCCUAAUGAGCAUCCUUAUACAGCCAUUAUAGCUGGAUAUUGCAAACAGGAAAAAUUGAAUCGAGCAGAGAUGCUUUUGAGCAGAAUGCAAGAGCAAGGUUUGGUCCCUAACGCCAACACCUACACUGCAAGCUAGCCGAUAACAGCAAGCUUUUAACCUUUUCAGUAAGAUAGUCAAAGCUGGUAUCAGCCCUGAUAUGCAUACAUACACCACAUAAAUGACCUAUGUAGCAUCGGCUUUGGACUAUCUCCAUAACGGUUAUUCAGAGCCACUGGUGCAUUGUGAUUUGAAGCCUAGCAAUGUUUUGCUAGAUCAAAACAUGGUUGGCCAUUUAAGUGAUUUUGGUAUUGCAAAACUGUUAGGUAUAGAGGAUAGUCCUAGACAAACUAAGACUAUUGGGACCAUUGGAUACAUUGCGCCAGGUACCUAAACUUCUUCUAUUGCCAUUAUCUUUCUCGUAUCAUCAUUCAUCUGUGGAACUAUUAUAAAAAACUGAGCUGAUGAUUUCUCACUUGUCGUUGCAAAGUAAGGACAAGAUGGACUUGUAUCAACAAGUUGCGACGUGUAUAACUUUGGUGUUGUGAUGUUGGAAGCAUUCAUGAGGAGGAGGCCUGACGAUGAAAUGUUUACUGGAGAUUUAAGCAUAAGAAAUUGGGUGAACGACUCGUUUUCAUGGUCUAUUCCCAUUUUUAUCAAAACCUAGGUUUUUCAACAAAAUACUAAAAUCUCUACAAUUUUCAUGUUAAGAUCUGCCCAUAAUCUAGGUAUUAAACUCAUAUUGUGUAGAAUACACUUACCUCAAGAUGCUAGGUGAAAAUCCCUAUAUACAAAGCUCCAAAAUCGGCUUACAAAUGAGAAAAAUGAAAAAAAAGGGCCAAAAUCCCGAUUUUUAUUAAGUCACUGCCCAGGUCUGCCUUCUUCGCGAUUGCGGACAAGCCCUCGCGAUUGCGAAAGCAAAAGUCACGAACCCAGAAAAUGUCCUCUUCGCGAUCGCGAGAAGACACUCGUGAACGCGAUGCACUGAGCCGCCCUCUCAUCGUGAACGCGUGCCCCCACUCGCGAACGCGAAAGGCAACUGGGUUGCCUGGGACCUGGCCCAGGUCUUCCACGCGAACGCGACGAGUCAACCGCGAACGCGAAGGCCACUACCCAAGCCUCUGCAAACGCUACCCCGACUUUGCGAACAACAUCACCCAAUCCCCAAAUCCUUCUUCACGAUCGCGAGGGUCCUUACGUGUUCGCGAAGAAGGAAACCAGAACAGCACAUCAACAAUUUUGGAGUCAGCUUCGAGGGGUCUGAAACGCACCCGAGCCCCCCGAAACCCAGUCCAAAUGCACUAACAAGUCUAUAACCAUAAUACGGACCUGCUCGAACCCUCAGAACACAUAAAACAACAUCGAAACUAUGAAUCGCACCCCAAAACCAAAUUGAAUCAACUUAUAAACUUUAACUUCUUAACUAGCUCCGAACGUGCCGAAUUAUACUUAGACUAUUCGGAAUGACACCAAAUUUUGCGCACAAGUCAUAAAUCACCAUACAGACCUAUUCCCAGGCUCGAAAUCUCAAAUGGACCUCGAUAACACCAAAGUCUAUUCCAAAUAAAAUUUAAAGAACUAGAAAACCUUCAAUGCACCAAUUUUCAACAUUAAGCACCGAAAUGCUCCCGGAUCACCCGAAACACAAUUCAAACACACGCCUAAGUCCAAAAUCAUCAUACGAACCUAUUGGAACCAUCAAAUACCGGUUCCGAGGACGUUUACUUAAAACGUUGACUCAAGUCAAACUUGGCCAUCAUAUGCCACUAUUAAGGAACUAAGUAUUCUGAUUUCAACUUAAACCCUUCCAAACCUAAACCAACCAUCCCCGCAAGUCAUAAAAUAGUAAAAUCACAUACGGAAAGUCCUAAUUAAGGGAACGUGGAUCUAGAAAGAAAAAUGACCGGUCGGGUCGUUACAACCCGGAGUCACAAAUCUAAUAUGGAACAAAUAUGCCAAACCAAACCCGAGCCAAUUCACUAAUUUAGAAUUCAAAAUCCAGUUAUCUCCUAAUCACAUACUCAUAUGAUCAAAUUAACUCAAGUAAACAAAUACAAUUAACAGCCAAUGAGGGAAAAUGACAGAAAGUAUACCUAUCGGACUUGGACAUGCGUGGUGAGAAUUGAUUUCAAUCCGCCAAGUGAAACUCCGGCCGGUUAAGGAACUCUGGCAAGUAAUGGGGAUUGUAACAUGAGCACUGGCAGGAAUUUCUUCACAUGGACAGUGCUACAUGUAGCAAUUCUCAUCAUAUGCCAGAAAAGGGGAAAAAGCAAAGGUUCCAAAUGGUUCUGGCCGGUCAACGCAGUUUGACCGGAUUCGGGCGGCCUUAGAAUGGACCAAAACUAAUGUUAAUCGAUUGCUGACAUAGAUUUCAAUUUCAUACGAUCCAAGACUAGUAAGAAAUCAGAAAAGAGAUGGAUUAGGUAUUUUCUAAAAUCUUAGAUCCAAAAAUCGAAAAAUCGAUGGGGAUUUGGGAGACGAGGUUAAGGGGCUUGGAAAAAAGAGGGAACAAGGAUUGUUUGGUGAAAAUUUGGAGCCGUUUGAAGGUUGGCCGCCGCCGUGGGCGAUUUCCGACGGCAGCAUGAUGCGGAGGUUAAGAGAGAGGAGAGGUGGUC
rnacentral:lncRNA from 1 species